GGCUGUGAGGAUGAGCUGGCCACAGCAUCUGUUAUCCCAUCAAUUGCCAGGCUGACUUCCUUAGUUCUGGUUGACUAGGCUAGGGUCCUCCUCCCUUUCUCUCCCAUGUGCCUCUGCUUGGCCUGCAUGCUGUCAAAGAAGGCAUCGUUCUCUGAUAGAGAGAGCCACUCUUCAGUGAAGAAUACACUUCUUAUCAGGGAAUAAGCCCACUGAUUCAAAAACAUAAUAAAUAAUCUCUUAGUUCCCAAGUACUUGUCCACCCUGAGAAAUUAUUUUA
rnacentral:sRNA from 1 species